UCCUGAGCUUAGAGUUUGAUCCUGGCUCACAUUGAACGCUGGCGGCAGGCCUAACACAUGCAAGUCGAGCGGUAGAGAGAAGCUUGCUUCUCUUGAGAGCGGCGGACGGGUGAGUAAUGCCUAGGAAUCUGCCUGGUAGUGGGGGAUAACGUUCGGAAACGGACGCUAAUACCGCAUACGUCCUACGGGAGAAAGCAGGGGACCUUUCGGGCCUUGCGCUAUCAGAUGAGCCUAGGUCGGAUUAGCUAGUUGGUGAGGUAAUGGCUCACCAAGGCGACGAUCCGUAACUGGUCUGAGAGGAUGAUCAGUCACACUGGAACUGAGACACGGUCCAGACUCCUACGGGAGGCAGCAGUGGGGAAUAUUGGACAAUGGGCGAAAGCCUGAUCCAGCCAUGCCGCGUGUGUGAAGAAGGUCUUCGGAUUGUAAAGCACUUUAAGUUGGGAGGAAGGGUUGUAGAUUAAUACUCUGCAAUUUUGACGUUACCGACAGAAUAAGCACCGGCUAACUCUGUGCCAGCAGCCGCGGUAAUACAGAGGGUGCAAGCGUUAAUCGGAAUUACUGGGCGUAAAGCGCGCGUAGGUGGUUUGUUAAGUUGGAUGUGAAAUCCCCGGGCUCAACCUGGGAACUGCAUUCAAAACUGACUGACUAGAGUAUGGUAGAGGGUGGUGGAAUUUCCUGUGUAGCGGUGAAAUGCGUAGAUAUAGGAAGGAACACCAGUGGCGAAGGCGACCACCUGGACUAAUACUGACACUGAGGUGCGAAAGCGUGGGGAGCAAACAGGAUUAGAUACCCUGGUAGUCCACGCCGUAAACGAUGUCAACUAGCCGUUGGAAGCCUUGAGCUUUUAGUGGCGCAGCUAACGCAUUAAGUGACCGCCUG
rnacentral:rRNA from 1 species